AUACGGAGGAUCCGAGCGUUAUCCGGAUUUAUUGGGUUUAAAGGGUGCGCAGGCGGGAGAUUAAGUCGGCGGUGAAAUUUUGCAGCUCAACUGUAAAAGUGCCUUCGAAACUGGUUUUCUUGAGUGUAGAUGAAGUAGGCGGAAUUUGUGGUGUAGCGGUGAGAUGCAUAGAUAUCACGAGGAACUCCGAUUGCGCAGGCAGCUUACUAAACUACUACUGACGCUCAGGCACGAAGGCGUGGGGAUCAAACAGGAUUAGAUACCCUGGUAGUCCACGCAGUAAACGAUGAUUACUAGCUGUUUGCGAUACAAUGUAAGCGGCUGAGCGAAAGCGUUAAGUAAUCCACCUGGGGAGUACGUUCGCAAGAAUGAAACUCAAAGGAAUUGGCGGGG
rnacentral:rRNA from 1 species